CUAGAAAUCAAAAAUGAACAAAAUCAAAGUAUCUAAAUUAGUUAUCAGUCAUAUGAGUUGCUUAAAAUAACCAUUGAAGAUCCCAAAAAAUGUUUUUAAAGAAGAUAAUACUACCAAGCUAAUAAACCUCUUAAGGUUUGAUGUGAAUAAUUUUAUACCAUAGUCGAAAGUGGGUUUUCCAAGAAAAACAAAAAAACAAACCCACGCACCUU